ensembl:lncRNA
GAAAGGUUUAUUUUUCACGCAGCACUCACCUUGAUAUGUUACCUAACCAUUUCCCCCAAAUGUCUGGUGAUCUCGAAAGAUGUUCUCCAUGUGUUGAAGCUGAAGACAUGACCUACACAUGGAUGAAACUCUGGGAGCAUGCUGUGAUAGUGCUGGCCUUUGGAAUUCCGUCAAUACCCUGUAUAGUAAUCAUGUGACGAAGAUAUGACUGCAUUGUGGAGCAUGUGCGCUGAUAAAUUGAGUUGGCUACGUUUCUGUGUAAUGUGCAUUACAAAAUAGUUUGAUAUGAUAUGUUAUUAUUAUUAUUAUUUUUUUUGUUUGUUUGUUUAUUCCACUUCCUCUUUUUUCUCACAACUUGUCAGUUCUACC